UUUCCAUAUCAUAUGCUGUCUCAAAGAUAGCCAUGCUGUCUAAUAUAAGCACUAUACUGUAAACUCAAUGGCUCAUUAAAUCAGUUAUCUUUAUUGAUAUACCUUACUACAUGAUACCUGUGUAAUUCUAGAGCUAAUACAUCUAAAACCUCACUCGAAGGGUAUUAUUAGAUAAAAAACCAAUGCCCUUCGGCUCCUUGUGAAUCAUAAUAACUUAACGAAUCGCAUGCCUUGCGCCGCGAUGUUCAUUCAAAUUCUGCCCUAUCAACUUCGAUGUAGGAUAGUGCCUACCAUGUGCAACGGUAACGGAAUUAGGUUCGAUCCGAAGAGCCUGAAAACGCUACCACAUCCAAGAAGCAGCAGGCGCGCAAAUACCCAAUCCCGACACGGAGUAUGACAAUAAAUACUGAUACGGCUCUUUGGUCUCUAAUUGAAUGAUACAAUCUAAAUCCCUUAACGAGAACAAUUGAGGCAAGUCUGGCCACACCCGGUAAUUCCAGCUCCAAUAGCGUAUAUUAAAGUGUGCAGUUAAAAAGCUCGUAGUGAACCUGGUUGCUGCCGUCCGCCUCACCCGAUACUGGUCCGCUGACCUUCCUUCUGGAAUCUCAUGCCUUCACUGCUUGGGGAACCAGACUUUACUGUGAAAAAAUUAGAGUGUUCAAAGCAGCCUUGCUCGAAACAUUAGCAUGAAUAAUAGAAUAGACGUGCGUUCUAUUUUGUUGUUCUAGGACCCCGUAAUGAUUAAUAGAUAUCGGGCUCAGUAUCACUUCAGAGGUGAAAUUCUGAUUGCUGAAGACUAACUACUGCGAAAGCAUCGCCAAGGAUGUUUCAUUAAUCAGAACGAAAUUAGGGAUCGAGACAUCAGAUACCGUCUAGUCUUAACCAUAACUAUGCCGACUAGAUCGACGUGUUCUAUUAUGACCCGUUCGCACCUUACGAAAAUCAAAGUUUUGGUUCUGGGGAGUAUGUCGCAAGCUGAAACUUAAAGAAAUUGACGGAAGGCACCACCAGCUGGAGCCUGCGCUAAUUGACUCAACACGGAAACUCACCAGUCCAGACAAAUAAGGAUGACAGAUGAAGCUCUUCUUGAUCUUUGGAUGUGUGCAUGCCUUCUUAGUUGGAGUAUUGUCGCUUAAUUCGAUAACGAACGAACCUCGCCCUUAAAUACCCGUCCGCAUUUGCGGCCGCUGCUUCUUAGGACUAUCGCUCAAGCCGAUGGAAGUGCCGCAAUAACAGUCUGAUGCCCUUAAUGUUCUGGCCGCACGCGCGCUACACUGACAGGCCAGCAGUACAUCACCUUGCCGAGAGUCUGGUAAUCUUGUUAAACCCUGUCGUGCUGGAUAAGCAUUGCAAUUAUGCUCUUCAACGAGGAAUGCCUAGUAGCACGAUCAUCAGCUCUGCCGAUUACUCCCUCCCUUUUACACACCGCCCGUCCUACUACCGAUUGAAUGCUCGUGAGCCUUCGACUGCUCAGGAGUGCAACACCCCCCAGAGCCGGAAAUUGGUCAAACCCGUCAUUUAGAGAAGUAAAAGUCGUAACAAGUUUCCGUAGGAACCUGCGGAAG
rnacentral:rRNA from 1 species